AUUGAACGCUGGCGGCAUGCCUUACACAUGCAAGUCGAACGGCAGCACGGGUGCUUGCACCUGGUGGCGAGUGGCGAACGGGUGAGUAAUAUAUCGGAACGUACCUUAUUGUGGGGGAUAACGCAGCGAAAGCUGUGCUAAUACCGCAUAAUCCCUAAGGGGGAAAGCGGGGGACCGUAAGGCCUCGCGCAAUUAGAGCGGCCGAUACCUGAUUAGCUAGUUGGUGAGGUAAGGGCUCACCAAGGCAACGAUCAGUAGCUGGUCUGAGAGGACGAUCAGCCACACUGGGACUGAGACGCGGCCCAGACUCCUACGGGAGGCAGCAGUGGGGAAUUUUGGACAAUGGGGGCAACCCUGAUCCAGCAAUGCCGCGUGAGUGAAGAAGGCCUUCGGGUUGUAAAGCUCUUUUGUCAGGGAAGAAACAGCAGCUCUAACACAGUUUGCGAAUGACGGUACCUGAAGAAUAAGCACCGGCUAACUACGUGCCAGCCGCCGCGGUAA
rnacentral:rRNA from 1 species